rnacentral:rRNA from 1 species
UAGCGUUGUUCGGAAUUACUGGGCGUAAAGCGCACGUAGGCGGACCAGUCAGUUGGGGGUGAAAUCCCGGGGCUCAACCCCGGAACUGCCUCCAAAACUGCUGGUCUGGAGGUCGAGAGAGGCGAGUGGAAUUCCGAGUGUAGAGGUGAAAUUCGUAGAUAUUCGGAGGAACACCAGUGGCGAAGGCGGCUCGCUGGCUCGAUACUGACGCUGAGGUGCGAAAGCUAGGGGAGCAAACGGG